AUACCAGCCCUGAUACCCGCCCUGAUACCAGCCCUGAUACCAGCCCUGAUACCAGCCCUGAUACCUGCCCUGAUACCAGCCCUGAUACCAGCCCUGAUACCUGCCCCUGAUACCCGCCCUGAUACCAGCCCUGAUACCUGCCCCUGAUACCUGCCCCUGAUACCUGCCCCUGAUACCUGCCCCUGAUACCAGCCCUGAUACCAGCCCUGAUACCUGCCCUGAUACCAGCCCUGAUACCAGCCCUGAUACCUGCCCUGAUACCAGCCCCUGAUACCAGCCCUGAUACCCGCCCUGAUACCAGCCCUGAUACCAGCCCUGAUACCUGCCCCUGAUACCCGCCCUGAUACCAGCCCUGAUACCUGCCCCUGAUACCUGCCCCUGAUACCUGCCCUGAUACCUGCCCUGAUACCAGCCCUGAUACCCGCCCUGAUACCAGCCCUGAUACCAGCCCUGAUACCAGCCCUGAUACCUGCCCUGAUACCAGCCCUGAUACCAGCCCUGAUACCUGCCCUGAUACCAGCCCUGAUACCAGCCCCUGAUACCCGCCCUGAUACCAGCCCUGAUACCAGCCCUGAUGCCAGCCCUGGUACCUGCCCUGAUACCCGCCCUGAUACCUGCCCUGAUACCCGCCCUGAUACCUGCCCCAGAUACCAGCCCUGGUGCCAGCCCUGAUACCCGCCCUGAUACCCGCCCUGAUACCAGCCCUGAUACCAGCCCUGAUACCUGCCCCAGAUACCAGCCCUGAUACCUGCCCUGAUACCUGCCCUGAUACCAGCCCUGAUACCUGCCCUGAUACCCGCCCUGAUACCUGCCCUGAUACCAGGCACAGCCAACCACCGCACGGACAGGCUCCACUACACAGCCAACCACCCCACAGACAGGCUCCACUACACAGCCAGACACCCCACAGACAGGCUCCACUACACAGCCAACCACCCCACGGACAGGCUCCACUACACAGCCAACCACCCCACAGACAGGCUCCACUACACAGCCAACCACCGCACGGACAGGCUCCACUACACAGCCAACCACCCCACAGACAGGCUCCACUACACAGCCAGACACCCCACAGACAGGCUCCACUACACAGCCAGACACCCCACAGACAGGCUCCACUACACAGCCAGACACCCCACAGACAGGCUCCACUACACAGCCAACCACCCCACGGACAGGCUCCACUACACAGCCAACCACCCCACAGACAGGCUCCACUACACAGCCAACCACCCCACAGACAGGCUCCACUACACAGCCAACCACCCCACGGACAGGCUCCACUACACAGCCAACCACCCCACGGACAGGCUCCACUACACAGCCAACCACCGCACGGACAGGCUCCACUACACAGCCAACCACCCCACAGACAGGCUCCACUACACAGCCAACCACCGCACAGACAGGCUCCACUACACAGCCAACCACCCCACAGACAGGCUCCACUACACAGCCAACCACCCCACAGACAGGCUCCACUACACAGCCAACCACCCCACAGACAGGCUCCACUACACAGCCAACCACCCCACAGACAGGCUCCACUACACAGCCAGACACCUUGCUACUCAACCCAACAAAACGGACACGCUGUGAUUGCCUCCUGGGAUGACCUGUUUUGAAGAAUGUCCCGACCACCUGUUGCUCCUGAGACAAGAUGGCUCCCAGAAUCAGUUCCUUUUCCUUUUCUCCCGUGACAUAAUCCAGUUUGUUUUGCUACAUUACUGACUGACAUGUUGUUGCAGUGUCAUGUACACAUUUAAAGUGGCGGUUAAAUAAAAAAACAACAACAUUGACAACUUUCAUAACAGUUACAUACCAAUAUAUAUUUUUAAUUAAAAAUAAAUAAAAAAAUAAAAAAAUGUGUUGUUAAAUGACUAGCCUGCUCAUAUGGUUCUUGAACAUUUAGUUUGUCAGCAGAUUGUGGUUUUCCUGCUGGAGUUAGAUCUAUACUGCCCCCUACUGUAAUAACAACAGG
rnacentral:lncRNA from 1 species